AUGGUUUGGUGGCGAUAGCGAAGAGGUCACACCCGUUCCCAUGCCGAACACGGAAGUUAAGCUCUUCAGCGCCGAUGGUAGUCGGGGGUUUCCCCCUGUGAGAGUAGGACGCCGCCAAGCUUU
rnacentral:rRNA from 1 species